rnacentral:rRNA from 1 species
UACGUAGGGUGCAAGCGUUGUCCGGAAUUAUUGGGCGUAAAGAGCUUGUAGGCGGUUUGUCGCGUCUGCUGUGAAAUUUCGGGGCUCAACCCCGAACCUUGCAGUGGGUACGGGCAGACUAGAGUGUGGUAGGGGAGACUGGAAUUCCUGGUGUAGCGGUGAAAUGCGCAGAUAUCAGGAGGAACACCGAUGGCGAAGGCAGGUCUCUGGGCCAUAACUGACGCUGAGAAGCGAAAGCAUGGGGAGCGAACAGG